ACGGUAACAUGACUAGCUUGCUAGUUGAUGACGAGUGGCGGACGGGUGAGUAACGCGUAGGAAUCUACCCAGUAGCGGGGGAUAAGCCAGAGAAAUUUGGUCUAAUACCGCAUACGCCCUACGGGGGAAAGCAGGGGAUCUUCGGACCUUGCACUAUUGGAUGAGCCUGCGUGAGAUUAGCUAGUUGGUGAGGUAAUGGCUCACCAAGGCGACGAUCUCUAGCUGGUCUGAGAGGAUGAUCAGCCACACUGGAACUGAGACACGGUCCAGACUCCUACGGGAGGCAGCAGUGGGGAAUAUUGCACAAUGGGCGCAAGCCUGAUGCAGCCAUGCCGCGUGUGUGAAGAAGGCCCUAGGGUUGUAAAGCACUUUCAGCAGUGAGGAAAGGUUAGUAGUUAAUACCUGCUAGCUGUGACGUUAACUGCAGAAGAAGCACCGGCUAACUCCGUGCCAGCAGCCGCGGUAAUACGGAGGGUGCGAGCGUUAAUCGGAAUUACUGGGCGUAAAGCGCGCGUAGGUGGAUUGGUCAGUCAGAUGUGAAAGCCCAGGGCUCAACCUUGGAACUGCACCUGAUACUGCCAAUCUAGAGUACGGUAGAGGGUAGUGGAAUUUCCUGUGUAGCGGUGAAAUGCGUAGAUAUAGGAAGGAACACCAGUGGCGAAGGCGACUACCUGGACC
rnacentral:rRNA from 1 species